rnacentral:lncRNA from 10 species
AAGAUUCAAUGCAGACUCUAUUUUCAAUAAUUCACAUUUUCCUAGGUGUGCUGGACAUUUAUUGGAGCUUAAUCAUUUUCUCUCCUUUAUGAAAUUAAUUUUUAAUACAUGUAUGGUAUAAAUUAGGCUUUGAGAAAGGAGUGGUCAUUACUCCCUGUCCAAAAGAAAGGGGAUUUUUAAAGAUGCAUGAUUGCAAAGAAGUCGGAACCAGGUGUUUGCUACCAUGAACAGUUUAUUUCAAUAACUAUUCAUCCUGAGAAAGAAAUGUAUGCACGGACAGACAAGAAAAAGGACCCAAGGGUUGAAUUUUGAGGAACAUCAAUGGUGAUGAAGAUAUAUCUAUAAAAGAAAAAAACACUGUUUUAAAAGUUUUCUUCCUCCCUCCUGGACACAUGUAGGGCUGCAUUUUCUGUACUGCUUGUGGUUGGAUGGCGAAUGAAGGAAAGAGUCAGCUGAUCUUAAAUGUAUUUACUCACAAUCCUCCUUCUAGAAUCUGCCACCUUAAUGCCUGUCAGCAUCUUUUUCUGCAGACGACCCAUCCCAGCAGUACUCCUUCUCAAGAAGUUGUAGAGGCAUGAUUGUGUUCUUCCAACCCUACAGCUUAGUGAGAGAAGUUGCAUCAAUUUGGUGCUAAAUUACAGUGGAAAUGAUAACUACCAUAAGAGAAUGAAAUAAUCCCAUAAAGUGUUGGUGGGAGGAGUAAUCUCAGAGUUGCAAUACCUUUGUGUGUGGUAGAAUAGUGACAAUUGCAUCUUUUUAUAAAGGCUAUUGAAUAAAUCCACUAAUCAUAACAGAAUGACAUUUUGUUUUUUUCUUAGCUAACAGCUACUUGGAUAACUUUCUGCAACAGGCAUUCAUUGAGGUAAGACCACAAAAUUACAUUUGUGACUUUCAAUAUAAGGCAGAGAGCUUUUACUCUAAAUUUCUUUGCUUUCUCUGGUAUUCUUAGGAGAUAAUUCAAGCAAAAAAAAAUUAAUUAUCACUGGCAUUAACCAUUUUACUAUAAUGACCUCAUUACUGGCACACCUGAACAGAUAUCUGAAGAAUCAAUUUAGUAGCCAGUUAACUCCCUAGAGACACCAGAUAAAGGCACCAGAUUUUAGGGAGUCAUGCCAAUUACAACAAAAUACCUACUUUACAAUAAGCAUACUUGAGUGUGUUAAGAUAUCUAAUGUACUAUGUUAAGACUGCCUUGUUUUUUAUUAAUGCACAUCUUCUUUUGGGCUACAGGCCUUAUAUUUGAUGCCAACUCAACUCUCUCACUCAAAAAUUUUAGUGCCUCCUGAAUCAGUUUAAAAUCCACAUUGGUCACAUUUUGUGGUAAUAUCACCUCUGUGCCUGAGCCUCCAGCAUGUUUUGCAGUAUAAUUUCUCAGCACUGUUAUUCCUCACAUCCCUUUCACAGAGGCCAGCUUUGGUUAGCUGAUUACUUGUAUUUUCUUAAACAUACCACCUAGGAUGUGGCUACAUCCCCCAACUAUUUUCCCUCUACUUCUCUUUUAUCACAUUCUCUCCUAAGUAUCCUUUAAAUCUAAGGUCCAAUAAAAUUUAUGGCACCGUGGAUUUGUUGCUUAAACUUGGUUAACUACUUUCAUCCUUAACAUUCUUAAGGGCUCAUCUUAGUUUUAGCAUUUAUCACAAUUUUAAUUGUAUCUUUUACAUUGUAAGCUCCAUAAUAGCAGAGAUAAUGUAUGUUCUGUAUUCCUUUGAAUUCCCAAUUUUUUGGAAUGCAUCUACCAACUCAUAUAUAUUGAAUGAACAUUUGUUGAAUGAUAGAAAUAAGAGUACGCCAGCAGAAAAAUUUUAUUUAUGACCUUGGAUACAAAAAAUUAAUAAUAGGAUAUUAUCAAAUCAUAUCUAACAGUAAAGUAAAAUAAUUGUUCAACACAACAAAAGGAAAACAUAUUUAAAUAUGAAUAACUCACCUCAAAUUGAAAAUCCUUAUGAAUUAUGUAAGUGGUAAGAAUGCAAGAUAUGUAUCUAAGUGCAAUAAUUAUUUACAAGAAGUAAAAGCAAGCAAGAGUAAAUAGUAAUAUGUUGAAGCCUUUGAUUACUGAAAAAAUCAGAGAAAUGUGUAUCAUCAACACUAUUAUUCAACAUUAUCUUGAAAUAUCUAACCAAUACAAUGAGAUAAAAAACAAAACUUGAAAUAAAUAUUGUGAAAGGGAAAACAAACAUAUAUCCCUUUGCAGUUGAUAUGAUUGCAUAUGUAGAAAGCUCGGGAACCAAAUAAAAACAAUUUCUAUCAAAAGAAAACUUAAUGAGACAAAUAGAUUUAAAAAACAGUAAUCUAAAUUAGAAUUAUAAAUAUGUUAAACUUACGGUUUGUCCCAGUGUGUUAAGAAAGCUGCUCAGUGUGAUUGAAUUUAGGGCACAUUUUCAGGACUGUAGGCGAUGAGGUUAAAUAAAUAAUCAUUAUGACUAUCAAGUUUUGGGUUCUAACUAUGAGCCAAGUGUCAGGCCUCUGAGCCCAAGCCUGCACAUAUACAUCCAGAUGGCCUGAAGCAACUGAAGAAUGACAAAAGAAGUGAAAAUGGCCGGUUCCUGCCUUAACUGAUGACAUUACCUUGUGAAAUUCUUUCUCCUGGCUCAGAAGCUCCCCCACUGAGCACCUUGUGACCCCCUCCCCUGCCUGCCAGAGAACAACCCCUUUGACUGUAAUUUUCCACUACCUACCCAAAUCCUAUAAAACGGCCCCACCCCUAUCUCCCUUCCCUGACUCUCUUUUCAGACUCAGCCUGCCUGCACCCAGGUGAUUAAAAA